UACAGAGGGUGCGAGCGUUGUCCGGAAUCACUGGGCGUAAAGGGCGCGUAGGCGGUGACUUAAGCGUGUGGUGAAAGCUCGGGGCUCAACCCCGAGUCGGCCGUGCGAACUGGGUCACUGGAGCAUGUCAGAGGCAGGCGGAAUUCCGGGUGUAGCGGUGAAAUGCGCAGAUAUCGGGAAGAACACCCGUGGCGAAGGCGGUUCUCUGGGACGGUACUGACGCUGAGACGCGAAAGCGUGGGGAGCGAACAGG
rnacentral:rRNA from 1 species